UACGGAGGGUGCGAGCGUUAUUCGGAAUUACUGGGCGUAAAGCGCGUGUAGGCGGCCCGUUAAGACAGGUGUGAAAUCCCUGGGCUCAACCUAGGAAUUGCGCUUGUGACUGGCGGGCUCGAGUACGGUAGAGGGGGGUGGAAUUCCUGGUGUAGCAGUGAAAUGCGUAGAGAUCAGGAGGAACACCGAUGGCGAAGGCAGCCCCCUGGGCCUGUACUGACGCUCAUGCACGAAAGCGUGGGGAGCAAACAGG
rnacentral:rRNA from 1 species